AGCUUCUCUGAGACCCAACAAGUGUGGUUUCGUGAUUGGUCGUGGGCUGACUGGUCGUAUCAGGAGGUUCAACGUCUACGAAGGCUGUGGAAACUUCAACGCUAUCUAAGUGUAGCAAAUACACAUUGUCAACGUGCAAGAAGUUGUUCAUCGGCUCUUCAUACCAUGUAUAUCUUCAAAAGAAUAAAUCCCUUCCUGCCUUUACCUUGUAGACGUUUCCAUUAUUGUUUAAACGUUAGAUUUCUCCCUCAUAACAGGGGAGUUUUUAGUAUUCGUCAUAAUAAAAGUUUGAUUCCCAGUG